UUUUUUUUUGUUUUUACAGAGAAACUCUUCAUUUUUCCUAAAACCAUGGCUUCUCCAUAAGUUGGAAUACACUAAUUUAUGGUAAAUGUAGCAGAGAGGAUGGUUGGCUGGCUGAGAAUUAUUAUGGAUGCAUCUAAGGAUGAAUUUGAUAAAGAUAUUUGAAAAAAAAUAUCUGGAUUUUUUAAUUUAAGAACAUGCAGACAUGGCUUUCUCUCUUAACACCCACAAAAAA